rnacentral:rRNA from 1 species
AACGAACGCUGGCGGCGCGCCUAAUACAUGCAAGUCGAGCGAGAAGACGUAGCAAUACGUUUGUAAAGCGGCGAACGGGUGAGGAAUACAUGGGUAACCUACCCUCGAGUGGGGAAUAACUAGCCGAAAGGUUAGCUAAUACCGCGUACGCUCCUUGGACUUCGGUUCAGGGAGGAAAGCGAUACCGUGGGUAUCGCGCUCUUGGAUGGGCUCAUGUCCUAUCAGCUUGUUGGUGAGGUAACGGCUCACCAAGGCUUCGACGGGUAGCUGGUCUGAGAGGACGAUCAGCCACACUGGCACUGCGACACGGGCCAGACUCCUACGGGAGGCAGCAGUAAGGAAUAUUGCGCAAUGGGCGAAAGCCUGACGCAGCGACGCCGCGUGGGGGAUGAAGGUCUUCGGAUUGUAAACCCCUUUCGGGAGGGAAGAUGGAACGAGCAAUCGUUCGGACGGUACCUCCAGAAGCAGCCACGGCUAACUUCGUGCCAGCCGCCGCUGU